CUCCUGGGGAUAUGAUUUAUGGACAAAGGGACUGUGUCCAAGCCUCUGGCUGGCAAUGUUACAGCCUCGUGUUUCAUCACUCGUCUCCCCCAGGAUGUACUACGAUCGCAUAAAUUGAAGGUUCGCAGCCCAAAUCUGCCACCUUUCUCGGAGAAAAGGCUGCGGCAUUUCUCACCGAUGACCUUACGCUCUGAGAGCCGAAAUUCCCCAAAGCCACGGAUCCCAGAGGACAAAACCCAGAGCAACCCUGCGGCAGAAACCCCCUCUGUGGUUUCAUCGGUGCCUGCCCCCACCCCAUCGCCCUACAUGGGAACGGAGCUGAAUUUCCAAAAAACCCCGUCGGAGAUCCCCGCUGAGCCAAGCAGCCCCUCCACCUCUUGCUCGUCUCCCGUGUGAUUUCUUGGUGGUAAAGUCCUGCCUGAUGAAACACCGGCACGGAGCAAAUCCUCUUGUCGAGCCCAGGAGCAGCCUUUGGAAGUGCAGGAGCCCCUCCAGCCAGCUGGAAAGUGAACACAAAGGAACGUUUUAACCCCGGCAGGAGAGGGGUCGUCACUGCCGGUGCUGCCUCUUGGAACAAGCAAGUUUUCUCUCUUUAAAGACACUGGACUGGUCUCUACUCCUGGUCUGAAUCCACCUUUUCUUACCCCAAAAAUCUUCAGUAAAAUAGUCAGUAAUACAACCCUUACGUAGCCAAGGAGGAAGAAACAAAACUCCAGCAGCAAAAGGUAAUAAAGUGACCUGACAAGGCAAAUUAUUGAA